rnacentral:misc_RNA from 1 species
AAAAAAAAAGAAAAAAAUAAAAAAUAAAAAAAAAGCGUAUGUUGGAAUUUGGCAAUUUCUAGUGCAGUUUCUUCAAUUGGAAACAGCUCUCCACAUCAAUUUGUUAAUGUAAAAGUUUGAGUCUUAGAUUUGUACUGAAAUCUUCACGUAUGGUGGUCCAAGUGUGACAUGUGCUAGAAUAAUUGCAACUCUUUUGCUUGUCUAACCAUGGCAUUUUAAAUAUUAAUUAAGGGUAUUCAGCAUCCCAAGUGAAUAUUAUGGCUUGGUGCAAAAAUUAUGAUGUCUUCUAUUUUACAUUUUAUACAUAACAUCUUAACGUUUUUUUUUUUUUUAGUUGGUUCUUUCAAAUAGAAAACAAAAUCUACUGUGCAUAUUAUUUCUUUAAUUUGUUCCUAAAAAUCUCAAGCUUAGGAAGGUCUAGCAUCCCAUGUGUACUGCUCUACUAUUGGAAACCUUUAUAUCAGUUUUGUGCAUAUGUCUUUUAAGGUUUCUUUAUUUUAAAGAAGGAUCUAUCAAAUUUAUUUCCUAUGUUUGCAUAGUGAAGUUAAUUUCUCUCUUUUUUUUUUCCUUCUUUAAUAUACUUUUCUAUUGAUAUUUGCAAAAAAAAAAAAUAAAUAAAGGGAGAGAGAAACUUUUGCAUUGUGUAUAAUUAGAAGGAAGCAAUAACAGCUUUUCACCAUUCCUACUUCUUGGGAGAGAUAUCCCCCAUUUGACUUAUUUAAUUUGGAAAUGAGGACUGGAGGUAAUGAGAAAUAAUUUUAGAAUUGGAACUGGAGGUAAUAAGAAACAUUUGAGAAUCAGAACUGGAGGUAAUGAGAAGUUCUUCUCCAUAUUUUAGGGUUCACGCUUUGGUGUUGUGGAAUCAAUCCACCUACAGUACACUGGCUUUAUAAACUUACAAGUUUUUAUUUAGCUGCCUGGGAGUUGUGAGAUCAAGUUAAUAUUACACUUCUGCAAUAUGUAAAUGCUGUUUUCAUUUGUAAAAUUGUUUGUAUUUUAUGCUUUGAUAAACAAACACCAUUCUUCUCUACCAUUGCAAGCUUUGAGUUACUGGCUGUAUGGUAUUGUCUAAUUGUGAAGGCUAAUGCAGGAGAUCUAUUGUUUUUAGG